GUAUGAGAGUAGUGGACAGAAGG
rnacentral:piRNA from 1 species